rnacentral:rRNA from 1 species
AUGAGGAAUUUUCCGCAAUGGGCGAAAGCCUGACGGAGCAAUGCCGCGUGAAGGAUGAAGGCCUAUGGGUUGUAAACUUCUUUUCUCAGAAAAGAAUUAUGACGGUAUCUGAGGAAUAAGCAUCGGCUAACUCUGUGCCAGCAGCCGCGGUAAGACAGAGGAUGCAAGCGUUAUCCGGAAUGAUUGGGCGUAAAGCGUCUGUAGGUUGUAUAAAAAGUAUUCUGUCAAAGAUUAGGGCUUAACCCUAGAUAGGCAGAAUAAACUUUUAAGCUAGAGUUUGGUAGAGGCAGAGGGAAUUCCCGGUGGAGCGGUGAAAUGCGUAGAUAUCGGGAGGAACACCAAAGGCGAAGGCACUCUGCUGGGCCAAUACUAACACUGAGAGACGAAAGCGAGGGGAGCAAAUGGGAUUAGAAACCCUUGUAGUCC